rnacentral:lncRNA from 1 species
ACGCACCAAAAAGCAAGCAAAGAUUGUGCCACAGCCUGAGCCGGAGCCGGUGCUAGAACCGGAGAAGCAAGAAGAGAAGAAGGAAGCGGAGGAGAAGCCACCAGAAGAAGAAACCAAACCAAAAGAAGAGGAAAAGCCACCAGAAGAAGCUAGAAAAGAAGAAAACGAGAGUAAUAAUAAUAAUAAAGGAGAAGAAAUAAAGGAAGAGCCUAAAAUGGAAGGAGGAGAGAACAACAACAGUAACAAUAUCAGCAACACUACCGAUGAGGAAAAUAUGAAGAGAAUGAUGUACUAUUAUCAGCCACUUUACGUGAUUGAGCGAAUCCCACCUCCGCAGCUCUUUAGUGAUGAGAAUCCCAAUGCUUGUUGCAUUUCAUAAUAAUCUUGCAUACA